CAUCCAAGCAGCAGUGAGGAAUAUUGCGCAAUGGGGGAAACCCUGACGCAGCAACGCCGCGUGUGUGAAGAAGGCCUUCGGGUUGUAAAGCUCUGUCAAGUGGGAAGAACCUAUAUAAUGUUUAUUCCUUUGUCUACUGACGGUACCACUGAAGGAAGCACCGGCUAACUCCGUGCCAGCACCCGCGGUAAUACGGGGGGUGCAAGCGUUAUUCGGAAUCAUUGGGCGAAAAGGGCCCGUAGGCGGCUUGGUAAGUCAGAUGUGAAAGCCCCGGGCUUAACCGCGGAAGUGCAUUUGAUACUGUCAGGCUUGAGUAUGGAAGAGGGAAGAGAAAUUCCUGGUGUAGAGUUGAAAUUCGUAGAUAUCAGGAGGAUCACCGGUGGCGAAGGCGACUUCCUGGACCAAUACUGACGCUGAGGUGCGAAGGCGUGGGUAGCAAACAGGAUUAGAUACCCUGGUAGUCCACGCAGUAAACGUUGUGACACUAGGUGUUGCGGGUAUUGACCCCUGCUUCGCCCGAAUCUA
rnacentral:rRNA from 1 species